rnacentral:rRNA from 1 species
AACCCGAACUAAUAGGUCCACGGCGUAAAGCGUGUUUAAGAUAUCUUUGCACUAAAGUUAAAAUUUAACUAAGCCGUAAAAAGCUACAGUUACUAUAAAAUAAACUACGAAAGUGACUUUAUAAUUAUCUGAUCACACGAUAGCUAAGACCCAAACUGGGAUUAGAUACCCCACUAUGCUUAGCCCUAAACGUAAAUGAUUUUAUAACAAAAUAAUUCGCCAGAGAACUACUAGCAACAGCUUAAAACUCAAAGGACUUGGCGGUGCUUUAUAUCCCCCUAGAGGAGCCUGUUCUAUAAUCGAUAAACCCCGAUAUACCUCACCACCCUUUGCUAAUU